rnacentral:rRNA from 1 species
CGGUGGAGUAUGUGGUUUAAGUUCGAUGCAACGCGAAGAACCUUACCUGGUCUUGACAUCCGGAGACCCUUAGGAAACUAGGGGUGCUUCCAUCUGGAAGAAUCUGGAGACAGGUGCUGCAUGGCUGUCGUCAGCUCGUAUCGUGAGAUGUUGGGUUAAGUCCCGCAACGAGCGCAACCCUUGCCUUUAGUUGCCAGCAGUUCGGCUGGGCACUCUAAAGGGACUGCCGGUGUUAAACCGGAGGAAGGUGGGGAUGACGUCAAGUCCUCAUGGCCUUUAUGACCAGGGCUACACACGUACUACAAUGGCCGAUACAAAGGGCAGCGACACUGCGAGGUGAAGCCAAUCCCGUAAAAUCGGUCUCAGUCCGGAUUGGAGUCUGCAACUCGACUCCAUGAAGUUGGAAUCGCUAGUAAUCGUGGAUCAGCAUGCCACGGUGAAUACGUUCCCGGGCCUU